UACGGAGGGAGCUAGCGUUGUUCGGAAUUACUGGGCGUAAAGCGCACGUAGGCGGCUAUUCAAGUCAGAGGUGAAAGCCCGGGGCUCAACCCCGGAACUGCCUUUGAAACUAGAUAGCUAGAAUCUUGGAGAGGUCAGUGGAAUUCCUGGUGUAGCGGUGAAAUGCGUAGAUAUCGGGAGGAACAUCAGUGGCGAAGGCGGCUACCUGGCCCAAUACUGACACUCAGGUGCGACAGCGUGGGGAGCAAACAGG
rnacentral:rRNA from 1 species